rnacentral:rRNA from 1 species
CCUACGGGAGGCAGCAGUGAGGAAUAUUGGACAAUGGGCGCAAGCCUGAUCCAGCGACGUCGCGUGAAGGAUGACUGCCCUACUUGUUUUAAACUUCUUUUGUAGAGGAGUAAAUUGCGGUACGUGUGCCUUUUUCUCUGUCCUUUAUGGAUCAGGAUCGGGCAACUCCGUGCCAGCAGCCGCGGUAAUCCGGAGGAUCCGAGCGUUAUCCGGAUUUAGAGGGUUUAAAGGGAGCGUAGAUGGGUGGUUAAGUCAGUUGUGAAAGUUUGCGGCUCAACCGUAAGAUUGCAAUUGAUACUGGCAGGCUGGAGUGCAGUUGAGGUAGGCGGAAUUCGUGGUGUAGCGGUGAAAUGCGUAGAUAUCACGAAGAACUCCGAUUGCGAAGGCAGCUUACUAGACUGCAACUGACAUUGAUGCUCGAAAGUGUGGGGAGCAAACAGGAUUAGAUACCCGUGUAGUC